AGGGGUAUAGCUCAGUGGUAGAGCAUGUGCUUGGCGUACACAAGGUCCUGGGUUCAAUCCCCAGUGCCUCUG
rnacentral:tRNA from 1 species